AGAGAAAGUCAAGAGUUGUUUUUGAUUUUGAAGAGCAAUAAUAACAUUGCUCUGACAUCUCUAUCCAUUUAAGUUUAGAUCACUAUGUGAUUCACAACUGCUGUAUGACUACUCAAAAGCUCAUGGUAAAAAUAUUCACUUUUUCAUAUCUUUUAGGGUCUGCCUGGAGAAGUGGGAGCCAAAGGAGAAAAAGGAGAAUGGGGAGAUGAGGGAAGUCCUGGCUCUGAUGGUACCCCUGGACCAAAGGGUAGCCCUGGAUCCGAAGGCUUACGAGGGGUCCCUGGGGCUCGUGGAUCAAAAGGAGAAAAGGUAAAUUUUCAUUCGUGAUAUUCACAAGUAGUUUAGAAGAAGAAAUAUUUUACUGUUUUAAAUGAAAACUCAAGCCAUUAAGGCCUUGUGAUCUAUUUAGUGA
rnacentral:lncRNA from 1 species